UACGUAGGCAGCAAGCGUUGUUCGGAAUUACUGGGCGUAAAGGGCGCGUAGGCGGCCUCUUUAGUCAGACGUGAAAUCCCCCGGCUUAACCUGGGAACUGCGUCUGAUACUGGGAGGCUAGAGUUCGGGAGAGGGAUGUAGAAUUCCAGGUGUAGCGGUGAAAUGCGUAGAUAUCUGGAGGAAUACCGGUGGCGAAGGCGGCAUCCUGGACCGGCAUUGACGCUGAGGAGCGAAAGCUAGGGGAGCAAACGGG
rnacentral:rRNA from 1 species